AGGAGUCGUGCCUUCCCGGUGAGUUUUCUUAAACGGAUGCGGUAAAGCGUGCUAAGGUAGCUAAGUUAUGGCCUAGUUAAUUGUAGGCCCUGUGAAUGGUUUGACGAGUUUUCCUCUGUCUCUAGCUUGUUUUAGUGAACUUGAAUUGGAUGUGCAAAUGCUUCCUUGAGAAAGAAAGACGAGAAGACCCCGUGAAGUUAGAAAUCUAUGCGCAUGGAGCAGGUGCUUCCCGGUGCUUGUGGUUUUGGCUGGGGCAGCAAGGGGGCAAAACUAGACCCCCUUAUUCUAAGUGCUGGUGAGCAAUGACCCAUAGUUUCAGAGGGUAUGAAUAGUAGAAGAAGUUACUCCGGGGAUAACAGCGUAAUCCGUCUUGACAGUUCUUAUAGAUGGGCGGGUUUGCGACCUCGAUGUUGGCUCUGGAUGUCCUGAAGCUGUAGGCGGUUUCAAGGGUUGGUUCGUUCGCCCAU
rnacentral:rRNA from 1 species